rnacentral:rRNA from 1 species
UACGAAGGUCCCAAGCGUUAUCCGGAUUUAUUGGGUUUAAAGGGUGCGUAGGCGGGCUAUUAAGUCAGUGGUGAAAGCCCCAGCUUAACUUGGGAACUGCCAUUGAUACUGAUGGUCUUGAGUACAUUUGAGGUGGGCGGAAUGUGUCAUGUAGCGGUGAAAUGACUUAGAUAUGACACAGAACACCGAUUGCGAAAGGC